rnacentral:lncRNA from 1 species
AUUGUGAGGAGCCUGUGAAAGACUUUUUGCUGUACUUGCUAUUGGGCAAAAUCCUGUCUGCUACCUGGUAUUCAUGUAGAGUAAACUGCAAUGUGGAAACAGAUGGUAUGACCAAGUGGGAGAGAGACUCUGUCUGCAAAACUGGGAGAGCUUCACUCUGACUGGGGGUGGAAGAGGAAUGAACAAGUCCACCCCAGCGUAAAAAUAAGAUGAAAAUAUAAAAGAAUGUCAGUGUUGAAGGUUACUCCUUUUGAUUUUGCCAAUAUCCCGGAACCAUGUGAGCACAUGAACAUUCCAAAGAAGAAGAUACCUCCAGGUUCUUCAGAUGAGUCUCACUCUGUUGCCCAGGCUGGAAUACACUGGCACCGUCUCAGCUCACUGCAACCUCCGACUCCCUGGUUCAAGCGAUUCUCCUGCCUCAGCCUCCCAAGUAGCUGGGAUUACAGGAUUUAUCAGGAUUAGCAAUCAACUGAGCAGUGGAAUUUUAUGAAAUGCCUGAAGAUAAGAAUAUGGAAUGCUCACUCCACAACAUUGUUUGUGAAAAUCUUCAGAUUUAUUUUAUUGAACAAGGCUAUAAAAGUAUUUACAGAGGAGAGGGAAAGAGAGCACAGUGGAGAGAUGCCUUGGGAGAGAGCUGUUACUGGCCAUGGUGUCAUUCUUCUUCCACAGGGAGAAGCAGAUCCAAACUGAGAAGGGAGAAGAUGUGAUAGUUGAUAUCACAACAAGCUUGAGUUUUGAUUAAUAUCUUGGACAGGACAUUCUAUGUUCCAAAUAGAGAUUGUGUGUUACAAAGUGACUGCAGGACCAAAAAUGAGUAGCAAAUUCAUGAACCUCUUAGAUUUUUUUAAUUUAGGACAUGAUGAGAUUACUGCCAGUGACUCAACUUUUAAAAUACAAGGAAUAACUAAAUAAAUAAAGUAAAAUUGCACUUUUAAUUGUAUUUUGAAGACAUCAUGAGCUGUGAUUCAUUCACUUCAUCUCAUAGAACUUCUGCUGGUGA